AACGAACGCUGGCGGCAUGCCUAACACAUGCAAGUCGAACGAGACCUUCGGGUCUAGUGGCGCACGCGUGCGUAACGCGUUGGAACCUGCCCUUAGGUUCGGCAUAACUCCCCGAAAGGGGUGCUAAUACCGGCUCAUGUCUUCCGACCAACGAUUUAUCGCCUUUGGAUGGGCCUGCGUUGGAUUAGCUAGUUGUUAGGGGAAAAGCCUACCAAGGCUACGAUACAUAGCUGGUCUGAGAGGAUGAUCAGACACACUGGGACUGAGACACGGCCCAGACUACUACGGGAGGCAGCAGUGGGGAAUAUUGGACAAGGGGCGAAAGGCUGAUCCAGCAAUGACGCGUGAGUGAUGAAGGCCUUAGGGUUGUAAAGCUAUUUUACACGGGAUGAUAAUGACAGUACCGGGAGAAUAAGCACCGGCUAACUCCGUG
rnacentral:rRNA from 1 species